GGAGUUUGGACCGUGUCUCAGUUCCAACGUGGCUAAUCGUCCUCUCAGACCAGCUAUGGAUCAUUGCCUUGGUAGGCCAUUACCCCACCAACAAGCUAAUCCAACGCGGGCACAUCCACCACCGAUAAAUCUUUCCCGUUUCCGGCGUAUGCGGUAUUAGCGUUCGUUUCCAAACGUUAUUCCCCAGUGGUGGGCAGUUUCCCACGCGUUACUCACUCGUGCGCCACUAACUAGGCGAAAGCAAGCUUCCGCUUCGUCCGUUCGACUUGCAUGCCUAAGACCUGCCGCCAGCGUUCGUU
rnacentral:rRNA from 1 species